GACGAACGCUGGCGGCGUGCCCAAUACAUGCAAGUCGAGCGAGUCUCUUCGGAGGCUAGCGGCGGACGGGUGAGUAACACGUAGGCAACCUGCCGCUCAGACUGGGAUAACAUAGGGAAACUUAUGCUAAUACCAGAUAGGUUCUUGGAUCGCAUGAUCCGAAAAGAAAAGGCGGCUUCGGCUGUCACUGGGAGAUGGGCCUGCGGCGCAUUAGCUAGUUGGUGGGGUAACGGCCUACCAAGGCGACGAUGCGUAGCCGACCUGAGCGGGUGCCCGGCCACACUGGGACUGAGACACGGCCCAGACUGCUACGGGAGGCAGCAGUAGGGAAUUUUCCACAAUGGACGAAGGUCUGAUGGAGCAACGCCGCGUGAACGAUGAAGGUCUUCGGAUUGUAAAGUUCUGUUGUUAGGGACGAAUAAGUACCGUUCGAAUAGGGCGGUACCUUGACGGUACCUGACGAGAAAGCCACGGCUAACUACGUGCCAGCAGCCGCCGCCG
rnacentral:rRNA from 1 species